CGUCGUGUUGCUUAAGUGAUUACAAAUCCGGUAAAUAGUCUAAUUCGGUAGGUCAUAUUCAUGAAAGGGAAGGGGAUUUGUAGUUACGACGUAAGGAACAUAUCCGAUAUCAUUUGUGAAACGGUUAUUCCAUAACGGUCAACCAACUCGUGAUGGCGUCCGUAAAAUUUACGAAGGGAUGAUUUCAACUUCACCAUUUGGAACUCUUGGUUUAAU
rnacentral:lncRNA from 1 species